rnacentral:lncRNA from 1 species
UAGAGCCUAAGUACCACUUAAUCAGCCCCCCCUAGACUCCUAAUCUGAAUUAUCACAGUAUAGAGUACAUGCACUAAGGUCAUCCUCUCCUUUCCUUGUUUCCUUUCACCUACCAUGGUCAAGAGAAAGGUUUUUGAAUCAAUUAUGCUUAAUCCUUUAUGUUAGUUUUAAUGCAACCCCUAGGAGUGACUUGCCCCUUUUCUCUUCUCUAUUUCUUUUUAUUUUUAUUUUUAUUUUCAGCAGCACUUAUUCUUAUCCUUGCCUGAAAAAGUCACUAACCUUUUUACGCGAUUGUGUACAUGGGUGAUACACCCCCGGUUACUCAGUUAGUCACUUGUUCAAGUGGCUACUAGCUCUGUUCAUAGUCUAGACCAUCGAAACUUAUAUGCUUGAAAAAGUUACUGACUUUUUUACGCGAUUGUGUACAUGGGUGAUACACCCCCGGUUACUUAGUCAGUUACUUCUCCAAGUGGCUAUUAGGCUCAGUUCAUAGUCUUAGACCAUUGGAACAAGUUUGUGAUU